UUGCAAAGACUCUCUGCCACACCAGC
rnacentral:misc_RNA from 1 species